AGAGUUUGAUCCUGGCUCAGGACGAACGCUGGCGGCGUGCUUAACACAUGCAAGUCGAACGAUGAAGCCAAGCUUGCUGGGUGGAUUAGUGGCGAACGGGUGAGUAACACGUGAGUAACCUGCCCUUGACUUCGGGAUAACUCCGGGAAACCGGGGCUAAUACUGGAUAUGAGCCGUCCUCGCAUGGGGGUGGUUGGAAAGUUUUUCGGUCAGGGAUGGGCUCGCGGCCUAUCAGCUUGUUGGUGGGGUGAUGGCCUACCAAGGCGACGACGGGUAGCCGGCCUGAGAGGGCGACCGGCCACACUGGGACUGAGACACGGCCCAGACUCCUACGGGAGGCAGCAGUGGGGAAUAUUGCACAAUGGGCGCAAGCCUGAUGCAGCGACGCCGCGUGAGGGAUGAAGGCCUUCGGGUUGUAAACCUCUUUCAGCAGGGAAGAAGCGCAAGUGACGGUACCUGCAGAAGAAGCGCCGGCUAACUACGUGCCAGCAGCCGCGGUAAUACGUAGGGCGCAAGCGUUGUCCGGAAUUAUUGGGCGUAAAGAGCUCGUAGGCGGUUUGUCGCGUCUGGUGUGAAAACUCGAGGCUCAACCUCGAGCUUGCAUCGGGUACGGGCAGACUAGAGUGCGGUAGGGGAGACUGGAAUUCCUGGUGUAGCGGUGGAAUGCGCAGAUAUCAGGAGGAACACCGAUGGCGAAGGCAGGUCUCUGGGCCGCAACUGACGCUGAGGAGCGAAAGCAUGGGGAGCGAACAGGAUUAGAUACCCUGGUAGUCCAUGCCGUAAACGUUGGGCACUAGGUGUGGGGCUCAUUCCACGAGUUCCGUGCCGCAGCAAACGCAUUAAGUGCCCCGCCUGGGGAGUACGGCCGCAAGGCUAAAACUCAAAGGAAUUGACGGGGGCCCGCACAAGCGGCGGAGCAUGCGGAUUAAUUCGAUGCAACGCGAAGAACCUUACCAAGGCUUGACAUGCACGAGAAGCCA
rnacentral:rRNA from 1 species